rnacentral:rRNA from 1 species
ACUCCUGCGGGAGGCAGCAGUGAGGAAUAUUGGACAAUGGGUGGAAGCCUGAUCCAGCCAUCCCGCGUGCAGGAAGACGGCCCUAUGGGUUGUAAACUGCUUUUAUCUGGGGAUAAACCUACUUACGUGUAAGUAGCUGAAGGUACCAGAAGAAUAAGCACCGGCUAACUCCGUGCCAGCAGCCGCGGUAAUACGGAGGGUGCAAGCGUUAUCCGGAUUUAUUGGGUUUAAAGGGUCCGUAGGCGGACUGAUAAGUCAGUGGUGAAAUCCGACAGCUUAACUGUCGAACUGCCAUUGAUACUGUUAGUCUUGAGUAAGGUUGAAGUGGCUGGAAUAAGUAGUGUAGCGGUGAAAUGCAUAGAUAUUACUUAGAACACCAAUUGCGAAGGCAGGUCACUAAGUCUUAACUGACGCUGAAGGACGAAAGCGUGGGGAGCGAACAGGAUUAGAAACCCUUGUAGUCCCAUGAU